AACGAACGCUGGCGGCGCGCCUAAUACAUGCAAGUCGAGCGAGAAGACGUAGCAAUACGUUUGUAAAGCGGCGAACGGGUGAGGAAUACAUGGGUAACCUACCCUCGAGUGGGGAAUAACUAGCCGAAAGGUUAGCUAAUACCGCGUACGCUUCUUGGACUUCGGUUCAGGGAGGAAAGCGAUACCGUGGGUAUCGCGCUCUUGGAUGGGCUCAUGUCCUAUCAGCUUGUUGGUGAGGAACGGCUCACCAAGGCUUCGACGGGUAGCUGGUCUGAGAGGACGAUCAGCCACACUGGCACUGCGACACGGGCCAGACUCCUACGGGAGGCAGCAGUAAGGAAUAUUGCGCAAUGGGCGAAAGCCUGACGCAGCGACGCCGCGUGGGGGGUGAAGGUCUUCGGAUU
rnacentral:rRNA from 1 species